AGUAUGCUGACAGAUUGUGAAAUGAAUAUCUGUGCGUAUAGCGUUGUACUUUAUCAGCAAAAAUAUUUUGAUUCUGGGGAUUACAACAUGGCUAAAGCAAAAAUGAAGAACAAGCAACUUCCUACUGCAGCUCCAGAUAAGACGGAGGUCACUGGUGACCACAUUCCCACUCCGCAGGACCUUCCUCAACGGAAACCAUCCCUUGUUGCUAGCAAGCUGGCUGGCUGAUUAAAAGGCUGAAC
rnacentral:sRNA from 1 species